rnacentral:rRNA from 1 species
GACGAACGCUGGCGGCGUGCUUAACACAUGCAAGUCGAACGGAAAGGCCCUGCUUUUGUGGGGUGCUCGAGUGGCGAACGGGUGAGUAACACGUGAGUAACCUGCCCUUGACUUUGGGAUAACUUCAGGAAACUGGGGCUAAUACCGGAUAGGAGCUCCUGCUGCAUGGUGGGGGUUGGAAAGUUUCGGCGGUUGGGGAUGGACUCGCGGCUUAUCAGCUUGUUGGUGGGGUAGUGGCUUACCAAGGCUUUGACGGGUAGCCGGCCUGAGAGGGUGAUCGGCCACAUUGGGACUGAGAUACGGCCCAGACUCCUACGGGAGGCAGCAGUGGGGAAUAUUGCACAAUGGGCGGAAGCCUGAUGCAGCAACGCCGCGUGCGGGAUGAAGGCCUUCGGGUUGUAAACCGCUUUCGCCUGUGACGAAGCGUGAGUGACGGUAAUGGGUAAAGAAGCACCGGCUAACUACGUG